UACAGAGGGUGCGAGCGUUAAUCGGAAUUACUGGGCGUAAAGCGUGCGUAGACGGUUAUGUAAGUCGGGUGUGAAAGCCCCGGGCUCAACCUGGGAAUGGCAUUCGAGACUGCAUAGCUAGGAUGCGGAAGAGGGAAGUGGAAUUUCCGGUGUAGCGGUGAAAUGCGUAGAUAUCGGAAGGAACAUCAGUGGCGAAAGCGACUUCCUGGUCCAGCAUCGACGUUCAGGCACGAAAGCGUGGGGAGCAAACAGG
rnacentral:rRNA from 1 species